CGAACCCUGCAACUUUCCCCUCGGCGCAAAGCGGGGACGCGCCGAGUGUAGGGGGCAGCCGCUCAGCGCGGCUUAGGGGCCGCCCCCCCCCAUCGCUGUGAAGCGGGAUGAGAGAAGAUGGCGCCCCCCACUGUUGCCAACGCGUGAAUUUUUUUUAGUUUUUUUGCGGGAAGCCCUGCGCCCGUAAAUCCCCAGCGCCUGGAGUCCCGUUACUACGGUCCCGCUGGCACACAUCCAGAAAGUUUUGGGUAAUACUGACAACUUUGCCAUGGGAACUUAAUUCACAAUACUUUUAGUCAAUGGAUUGAGAAAGGACAGAUAGAAAUCAAACCAGGGUCUCAUACGCUCAAGAGAUACUCCAAUAGAAUAGAUGGCACCUACCGACCCAUUGGGGGAAAUCAAAUUAAAACAUUAUUUCAGAAAGAGUUGGCUUUUCUAGUUAACUUCUUGAGAAGGCUCACACACCUAAUGGAUUAUAUUGAGCAUAUAUUCAGAGAGGCGCUAACUAUCUGGAAAACUAUCAAAUCACAGGACUUGGCUGGUUCUGAGGACAUCGAUGAUUAUCAAAUC